rnacentral:lncRNA from 1 species
CAUGAAGUAAACUUUCCAAUUUAUUCCAUUGCAGCCUUCUUCGGAAAAAAAAAAAGUGCAGAGAGAAGAGUCACCAACCACCCCCUGCCCUCUGAGGGACAGUGACAAACGAACGGAAGGAGGGAUGAGUGGGACCAUGUCGGAAAGGAUGUCAGAAGACUGUCCAAAACCAGCCAAAGCCCCCAAACUGCUCGUGGUUUCACCCUGGUUAACGUGGGAUGAUGCCCGGCUCCCGCAGCUGCAGCCAGCUUAGCCCAGGGACUGCAGAGAUAAGAGCAGGGCUUGAGAACCAGCUCCAAAGAGCCAUAAAAAUCACAAGCACAGAAGAGAGAAAAUCUCCAUUAAACUCAGGGCGUAGUUAUAACUGACUCCUUGGCUGGGGGCUUUGCAGCCCGAGCUGCUGGAGAUGGCCCUGCCCUCCCCAGGGAGCUCCCUGGAUCUGCUGGAGCUUUGAAGCAAGAGCGAAGGUGCCUGAGCCCCCGAGAGCUCAGUGCAGGAGCAGAGGGAAUUCCCAGGAUGGGGAUAACGAGACGAGUUUCAGCCCAGCCAGGGAUUUCUCCGGAAAGUCAAACUUCAACCGGGCAGUUGUCGACUUGGCAUCCUUUGGUCCAGCUCCGCUCACUUGAGACAAGGAGAUCCUUCUUAAACCCACCCUGGAAAGACACCGAUAGCAGCCAGAUUUCACCUCGAAGGGAUCGACUGAAGAGUUUGGUCACCUGCAGACCAUGGUGCCUCCCUCAUGGGUGAGACCGGCACGGCCCCAAGGAUCCUCCCGAGCCCAGGUUGGAUUUUUACCUCUGGAGACGGUCCCUGCGGUGACGGGAUGAGCUGCCGACGUCCCCACGUACCUGCCGUGAUGCUGUUUCAUGUGGAAAGAAGCUGCCACCAUCCCUUUGCCACAUGAAAGGAAAUCAAGGCUGGAUGUGACACCGAGUGAUUUCUUUUCAAGACGAUCCUCCCGUGUGAAGUGGGUUUUCCCCUUCUCCUCGUUUCAGGAGACGAUCGCUCCGAGCUGCUGGAAGAAGGGAAACAUUUAUGUACCGAUUAAUUAAGCAAAGCCUCUCAGCUUAAUUUUGUCUCACUGUGACGUAGGGUUUUGUCCCUGUGGCAGACACGGGGC